rnacentral:rRNA from 1 species
UACGUAGGGUGCGAGCGUUGUCCGGAAUUACUGGGCGUAAAGAGCUCGUAGGUGGUUUGUCGCGUUGUUCGUGAAAACUCACAGCUCAACUGUGGGCGUGCGGGCGAUACGGGCAGACUUGAGUACUGCAGGGGAGACUGGAAUUCCUGGUGUAGCGGUGGAAUGCGCAGAUAUCAGGAGGAACACCGGUGGCGGAAGGCGGGUCUCUGGGCAGUAACUGACGCUGGAGGAGCGAAAGCCGUGGGGAGCGAACAGG